AACGGUCUAUACCUGCGGUACCUGCGGAGGGAUCAUUACCGAGUUUACAACUCCCAAACCCCUGUGAACAUACCACUCGUUGCCUCGGCGGAUCACCGCGCCCCGUGAAACGGGCCGGCCCGCCAGAGGACCUAAACUCAAAUGUUUUAUUGUAUCUUCUGAGUAAAAACACAAAUAAAUCAAAACUUUCAACAACGGAUCUCU
rnacentral:misc_RNA from 1 species